rnacentral:rRNA from 1 species
AACGAACGCUGGCGGCAGGCCUAACACAUGCAAGUCGAACGCUCCGCAAGGGGAGUGGCAGACGGGUGAGUAACACGUGGGAAUCUUCCUGUUGGUACGGAAUAGCUCAGGGAAACUUGGGGUAAUACCGUAUAAGCCCGAGAGGGGAAAGAUUUAUCGCCGACAGAUGAGCCCGCGUCUGAUUAGCUAGUUGGUGAGGUAAUGGCUCACCAAGGCGACGAUCAGUAGCGGUCUGAGAGGAUGACCAGCCACACUGGGACUGAGACACGGCCCAGACUCCUACGGGAGGCAGCAGUGGGAAUAUUGGACAAUGGCGCAAGCCUGAUCCAGCCAUGCCGCGUGAGUGACGAAGGUCUUCGGAUUGUAAAGCUC